rnacentral:rRNA from 1 species
AGCGAACGCUGGCGGCAGGCUUAACACAUGCAAGUCGAACGGGCUCUUCGGAGCUAGUGGCAGACGGGUGAGUAACGCGUGGGAACGUGCCUUUCGGUUCGGAAUAACUCAGGGAAACUAGAACAAAUACCGGAUACGCCCUUCGGGGGAAAGAUUUAUCGCCGAAAGAUCGGCCCGCGUCUGAUUAGUUAGUUGGUGAGGUAAUGGCUCACCAAGGCGACGAUCAGUAGCUGGUCUGAGAGGAUGAUCAGCCACAUUGGGACUGAGACACGGCCCAAACUCCUACGGGAGGCAGCAGUGGGGGAUAUUGGACAAUGGGCGCAAGCCUGAUCCAGCCAUGCCGCGUGAGUGGUGAAGGCCUUAGGGUUGUAAAGCUCUUUUGUCCGGGAAGAUAAUGACUGUACCGGAAGAAUAAGCCCCGGCUAACUUCGUGCCAGCCGCCGCCGUAACAC